rfam:Solanum tuberosum cultivar DM 1-3 516 R44 scf00275_36, whole genome shotgun sequence.
AUCCCAUGAGUCGGGCAUUUAAGUAAGAGUUUCUUAAACCUCACCCACGUUUCAUGGAUGUGUUCCCCUCCUAUCUCUUGAAAUCUUGAAUAUCGUCUCUAAGUUU